GUCUGUGUUUUCAUGAAUCAGUUUCUCUUACUCUACCUCUACGUCUCCCAUCUUUACUCCGUAAAUCAAUAAUGGAGCACGUUCGUAACACCUCCUGCAUUCCGCUUUGUAUCUAAACAGAGGAACCCUUUUUCUCUGAUUCUCUCAUCGAUUCUUCUUCCAGUCGAAUUUAGUACAUCUUGUCUGAAAAGACUUCAUAUGCUGCUCCAGUUGCUAAAGCCGUGGAUCCUUGAUGAAAAGGAAUGUAGCUUCAGCUUCCAUGUUUUCAGAAACCAAGAUAGGUUCUUCUCAGAAGCCCUAGCCCCCAACUAUUUAUUCGGUAACUACCGCUCUUCGAACCAACCCUAUGGGUUUCAGCGGCUUGAACAUCCAGCAAGAAGAAGAGGAAAGGUGAGUUAUUGUGUCCUCAUGGUUCUCUUUCGCCGAAUCGUAGUCUAAACUGUAUCCGUGUUGAGUUUCCGUAGUUUGUAGUCGACGGUGUGUUAUAUGAGGUGCUGACUAGGGAGCUAGCAGAGGAUGGUUGGUUACUCAGGUGUGGAGGUUAGGGUUACUCCGAUGAGGACAUGGAUUAUCAUCAGAGCCACAUGUACUGAGAAUGUUCUCGGUAAUGUUCAAUCUCGAAAUGUACAAAGCUAGGGACUUUAUGUGUAAAGAUGCUCUCAUAAGGAUAACUGACGAUUACGCUUUCUCUGCGCAUGCUUCUUUAGCCAUGUUUUCAGCUUCCCUAGCUCUUGUCUGAGAACGCCUCAGGGCUUCUAGCAGCUCUGAUUUGCUCAAGUCGGACUCAGAGGAAGCCUCCUCGGUUCUCUUCUUGCAGCUGCUUGGCCAGUGCUCGUGUGGACUACUACCAUGAUAAUAAGAGCGUUUCAUCUUCUGUGGUGUCGGUAGAUCAUAAUUCUCAACAAAGUGUAGACACCUUUGUGCAACCAAGGAAGCUAACUCAUCUUUGUCUGUAGUUCGCCACCAGGGUCCAGCUUUCUCGCUCGAGAGAGGAUUCCAUGGAGAGGUGGGAUCGAAAUGUUUCUCAGAGGAUUCAUCUUUCCCAAAAGAACCAUAACUCUCUCUUGUCUCUAUUAACUCUUGAAAGCUUUCAGGCUUGAAAGACUUUGCUCCCAGUUCAUGUUUAUCAACCCCAGCCUCCAUUGGCGUCUUCACUUGGGCCUUCUGGUUUGGCUGAAACAGAGGCAUGAAAGGUGCACAAGGUGAUUGGUUCUGAGGAUGAACAACAGAAGGAGGAGAAGAGACAGAAUCUUCUUGAACCUGUUUGGUUGAAGAAGAGUGGGAAGAGGUGAACUUGGGAGCUCUUUUAGCGUCUUCUUGGACUAAGUAACGGCUAACUGUUCUUUGCCACACUGCUCUUGCUUCUCCUGCUGCCAUCAUUUCACACCAUAGCUCUGAUAUUAUAAGACAAAAAAAAAGACAAUCAAUUCAAGAUCAAUGCAACUAUUUGAUUCCCAUUUAGAGAAGAAAAUGAAUCAUUUCAAAGUUGGAAUCUUUACCAGAUCCAUCACCAAAAAGCUUUACAGAAAAAAUAAAAGAAUCUGAUGUUUUGCUUUAAAGGAAGUUUGUCCUAAUCUUCUAACAAAACAGAUGCAGAUUCUUGUCAUAUAUUAUUAUGCAAACUAUUUUUUUUAUUCACUUACCAACCAAAUAAUCCUUCUUUGCAAUUUAGAAUCAAAUCCAGAGAAAAAAACAUUAAAUUCAAUGAUGAUUUAAGUUGUAGGAACCAUCCUGAACAACUAAAAACUGGUUUUUUUUUAGGGAAACAGCAAUAGUUUGCAGAAAUUGAAAGAAUUUUACCAAAAAAAAAAAAUUAAAAGAAAGAAAAAAAAACUGGAAAGAGUGUGAAUGAAUUGAGAAGUCACUCUCGUGAAGACAUCACAUAAAACGAAGAUAGGAGUUUUGUUUUUUUUUCUCGCUUCUUUAUCAAUUGUCAGAAAUGGUUUUUGUUUGCUUCAGAUUAAGAGCUUUUUGAAUCUUUGCAGUUUUCGUUUUCUUUCUGUGCUUUAGCACGCAAACUUCCGCUAAACGGCGCUGUUUUUAGGACCCAUAGUUUCCUAUCGGUGUGUUUGGGUCCACAGAUUAGAUAUUAGUACACGUGGCGUUAAAUAACAAGAUCAAGUGGGCUUCUCUUUUUUUUUUCUUUUACUAGGGGUGUAGCUCGGAGUCGUUAUCUAAAUCAGUGAAAGUGAUGUCGUGUUUGCGAAGUUUGUGUUUUGUUGUUGUCAUUGAUUCUUCAAGAUUUGUAUUGUAAUAGGGUUAAGAUAGGGUGAUGAACUGCGCUACUAUUUUUUUGUGGUUGGUGGGUGUAUACGCAUGAUAGUUUAUAUUGUUGGGUUUAUUUGAUUUUGUAUUUGUUUACAAAUAAUGUUCAUUCUCCCAAAUUUGUAGAUAUUUGUGUUAUUUUUUUUGUAAUUUGUAAUUGGCUGUAACUUGUGUAAAAAUUGGUGUAAGUGGUUGUUGUGCCUUAAGAAAUUUUUUUUUAUAAAAAGAUGACAUUGUACGGUUCGGAUCGACGUUGGGUAUGUAAGCCCAAUUCAUAAAAAAACAUAAGUCAACAUUUGAUGGUGAUAUUGCGUCCUUUGUGUGGCUUGGAAGCGAUUUCUGAAUUUCCUGAUAUGCAUGUGUUUGAUUGUAUUAUUUGUUGGAGUAAUAUAUUAAGUUCGGAUCUAUCUGUAUUUGUUUUUAUAAUCAGCUGUGAAUAUGUAAUGCAUUUUUGAUAGUCCAUUUUGUAUUGAUAAAAACUAUUUUCUUUUUCUUGCAAAAUUAACUUUAGACAUAUAAUGUAUGUUUACAUGGGAAUUUCUCUGAUCUUUGAUUUACAACAUCUGAUUGGUACAAUUAUAAAAAUAGCCAUAGAGCUCGAGCAUGAUUCACCAUUUUCUCCUAUUUUGAUGUUCAAUUGUUUUCAUCUCUUCAUUUUUUUAAGUGACAAAGCCAUCAAACAAAAAUAGCAAGCAAUACUUUCUUAUAUAGGUGAGAACUGAGAAGGGAAGGACAAUCAGGGAACAUCUCUUGUCCAUAAGAGAUUCAGAUUCCCUCAAGGCCUCAAGACAGUGUUGAGCUUUACGCGAGAAGGUUGUCAACAGAGAUCUCUGUGCCAUUGCCCAGGCGGAGUCUCUACGUUACAAGAUCCUCGGUGGUCACCGUUUGCAGGUAUAGUUUUUAAUGCUUACUGCGAAAUAUUAUUCAUCAACUGAUACUUUAUUUUGUUCACAUACUAGAAGAGAGUGUGAUUAGUUUAGUUAUCAAGCCAUUUCCUUCAUAGGGACAGUGGCAGUUUCUCUAAAGUUGUUGUGUAGUUGUCAUUUCUCUUGCUGAUUUUGGAAUAAUAUUGUAUAUGGCUUGCUAUAAUGUCUUCAGAUUCGUCAUGAAGAGUGGAGCUAAGGGAUGUGAGGUCAUUGUAUGUGGAAAGCUUCGUGCAGCACGUGCCAAAUCCAUGAAUUUCAAAUCCUUUGAAAGCUUCAACCAGAACUUGACCAUCUACUUAUAAUUGUUUUCUCUCACAACUCAAGUUAAAAAAUAAAAAAUAAAAAAACAUUCAUGAAAGUCCACAAUUAAUAAUUAUUGAAUCACAUUUAAUAUUUUGGAAAAAAUUGAACAUAAACAACAAAAUAAAUCCUAAUAAAUUUGCUAGAAGUACCCCAAAACAAUUUGAAUGGUAUAAAUUGCAUAUGUAAAAUUAUUGUAUCUAAUAAAAUAUCUACAAUUUAGUCAGCUUCUUUUUCAAUGAGUAAAUAUAUACGACAUUUUUUCUUUGGACAAAAUAGAUACAACAUUGUAAAUCAAAACCUAUAUAUUAUUGACAUCUUAAAAAAUAUACACCGUACAUUAGCACAUACAGGAAAACGAAUGGGGUUAACAUGUUAAAACCAUUUUAAAACUUAGAAAUAUACAUAUUUAAAACAU